rnacentral:rRNA from 1 species
AUUGAACGCUGGCGGCAUGCCUUACACAUGCAAGUCGAACGGCAGCACGGGAGCAAUCCUGGUGGCGAGUGGCGAACGGGUGAGUAAUAUAUCGGAACGUGCCCAGUAGUGGGGGAUAGCCCGGCGAAAGCCGGAUUAAUACCGCAUACGACCUGAGGGUGAAAGCGGGGGAUCGCAAGACCUCGCGCUAUUGGAGCGGCCGAUAUCAGAUUAGCUAGUUGGUGGGGUAAAGGCCUACCAAGGCUACGAUCUGUAGUUGGUCUGAGAGGACGACCAGCCACACUGGGACUGAGACACGGCCCAGACUCCUACGGGAGGCAGCAGUGGGGAAUUUUGGACAAUGGGCGCAAGCCUGAUCCAGCAAUGCCGCGUGCAGGAAGAAGGCCUUCGGGUUGUAAACUGCUUUUGUCAGGGAAGAAAUCUUCUGGGCUAAUACCCCGGGAGGAUGACGGUACCUGAAGAAUAAGCACCGGCUAACUACGUG